AACGAACGCUGGCGGCAGGCUUAACACAUGCAAGUCGAGCGCCCCGCAAGGGGAGCGGCAGACGGGUGAGUAACGCGUGGGAACGUACCCUUUGCUACGGAAUAGCUCCGGGAAACUGGAAUUAAUACCGUAUGUGCCCUACGGGGGAAAGAUUUAUCGGCAAAGGAUAGGCCCGCGUUGGAUUAGAUAGUUGGUGGGGUAAGGGCCUACCAAGGCGACGAUCCAUAGCUGGUCUUAGAGGAUGAUCAGCCACAAUGGGACUGAGACACGGCCCAAACUCCUACGGGAGGCAGCAGUGAGGAAUAUUGGACAAGGGGCGCAAGCCUGAUCCAGCCAUGCCGCGUGAGUGAUGAAGGCCUUAGGGUUGUAAAGCUCUUUCACCGGAGAAGAUAAUGACGGUAUCCGGAGAAGAAGCCCCGGCUAACUUCGUGCCAGCCGCCGCCGUAAUAC
rnacentral:rRNA from 1 species